GGGCGAGUAGCUCAAUGGUAGAGCAGCGGCCUUUUAAGCCGUUGGUUGAGGGUUCGAAUCCCUCCUCGCUCA
rnacentral:tRNA from 4 species